UACGUAGGGGGCAAGCGUUGUCCGGAUUUAUUGGGCGUAAAGGGUGCGUAGGCGGCCUUAUAAGUCAGUGGUGAAAGCCUGCAGCUUAACUGUAGGACUGCCAUUGAUACUGUAGGGCUUGAGUACUGAUGAGGUAGGCGGAAUUGAUAGUGUAGCGGUGAAAUGCAUAGAUAUUAUCAAGAACACCGAUGGCGAAGGCAGCUUACUAAGGAGUUACUGACACUGAGGCACGAAAGCGUGGGGAGCAAACAGG
rnacentral:rRNA from 1 species